rnacentral:rRNA from 1 species
GACGAACGCUGGCGGCGUGCCUAAUACAUGCAAGUCGAGCGAAUGGAUUAAGAGCUUGCUCUUAUGAAGUUAGCGGCGGACGGGUGAGUAACACGUGGGUAACCUGCCCAUAAGACUGGGAUAACUCCGGGAAACCGGGGCUAAUACCGGAUAACAUUUUGAACCGCAUGGUUCGAAAUUGAAAGGCGGCUUCGGCUGUCACUUAUGGAUGGACCCGCGUCGCAUUAGCUAGUUGGUGAGGUAACGGCUCACCAAGGCAACGCUGCGUAGCCGAACUGAGAGGGUGAUCGGACACACUGGGACUAAGCAACGGCCCAGACUCAUACGGGAGGCAGCAGUAGGGAAUCUUGCGCAAUGGACGAAAGUCUGACGGAGCAACGCCGCGUGAGUGAUGAAGGCUUUCGUGUCGUAAAACUCUGUUGUUAGGGAAGAACAAGUGCUAGUUGAAUAAGCUGGCACCUUGACGGUACCUAACCAGAAAGCCACGGCUAACUACGUGCCAGCCGCCGCGGUAA